rnacentral:rRNA from 1 species
CAAUAGCGUAUAUUAAUAUUGUUGCAGUUAAAAAGCUCGUAGUUGAAGGCGGCCCAUUGCCGAUAUCGCGAAGCAGGUUAUAGCCAUUAAUUUGUCUAUAACUUUGCUUGCGUAUUUUACUGUGAACAAAAUAGAGUGUUCAACGCAGGUAUUCGCUUGAAUAUAAUAGCAUGGAAUAAUCAGAUAAAGUUUUGAAAAUCUGUUGGUGGUUUUCGAAAAAAUGGUUAACAGGAACAGUUGUGGGUAUUCGUAUGUACAUGUCAGAGGUGAAAUUCUUGGAUUUUGGACAGACGAACUACUGCGAAAGCAUUUAUCAGGGAUGUUUUCAUUAAC